CUCUGAGCCUCUUCCUCCAAUCCAAAAGCAAAUAAAUGCUGAAAGAAAGAAAACUCUCUCCCUUCAGCACACGGGGCCUCUAAGACUGAAAAAUGAAGGUGACUGUAAGAGCUCUGAUGAACCUGUUUGGACAACAGACAGCAACAAAUACCUGUCUCAGUGGAGGAGUUUAAGAGCACUGCAGAGAUCCUCAGACAGUACAGAAUAUCUUGGCUUACAGAGGCCACUGUCUUUAUCGCAAAACAAUACCAGCCAGGCUUCCUCGCUACCUACAGCUGAAGUACUGCAGGAACAGGAGGGCAAUACUUGUUACAGCUUCUAAACUUGAAUUUCCUUGUAUUAUUUAAAAAAAAAAAAAAAAAGCAAGCAAGCAAGCAAGCAAGCACCUGAAUUCUAAGAAAGAUGAGGUAUUUGAUUCCAAGGAAGAAAACUAUACACGGCAGGUUGAAGCGACAGAGGCAGUCCUGACUGUUUUUUCUCCAUCCAGCUACUUUAAUUAUGGCCCUUCAAAACCAGCUAUUCCUGUGGAUCAGCGCGUAAAGCGAUACUGCGAACAUAUUGAACCAUCCAUCGACCCUCCGUGCUGAGGCCUGUCAGUGCAGAAUGGCUGCAGGGAGUCUUAGUCUGUUCCCCCGUCCCAGGAGAGCACUAUGCAGAGUGGAGCAAAUCCCUCCAGGAUUUAACACAGUGGAUGAUUGAUUGUACCCGCCAGCUGGCUAAUAUCAUAAUUAACAAAGUUGCUACCAUGUCUGAGAAGUUUAAUCGAAAAAAUUGCCAGCAGUAUGAUGCCAUUGUCACAGAGAUCACAAGCACUGCAGUGUCGACUUUUGUACUAGUGGAGCUGCAGGACUAUGUAGAUGUGCUGAGAAGUCGUUCACUGGUGUAACUAAAGUGAGAUGUGAUUGCAGACGCCGUGUGAUUGGGCUCUGGUAGGAUGGGUCAGUAGCAGCCUGACUUCACUCUGCUCGUCACCGGUGGAGCAGCCAUGGCGCAGGGAUGCCGAACUUAAGAGCAGCUGCGGGAAACUAAUCUUUACAUGCAGGAAGGUCAGCAGUAACUCAUGGAAAUACAUCGGUGAGGUUUAGCUGGUGGAUCACAUUGUGAAAUCUGCAGCUGUGAAAGGCCUUCCAUUUAUUGCACCCUUCAAAACGAAAUAUUAGCAUGGGAGGCUAAGCUGGGAAUUACGGUGUAGUGUCUUCAAGUUCUGGUUCACAAGUACCUCCGUGACAGUACAAGGAGAGCUGUCAAUAAGGAAUGGAGGCUAAUAACGAAGGAGUCAGUGAAGGAGACCAAUGCCAUGAGGGUUAUCUUGCAGCCCCAGAUGCUGGAUAAGUUGAAGGAGGCAGACUCGCUUUUGGAUGACAUUCAGGAAGGCCUUGAAUGAUUAUUUGGCGAAGAAAAGGCUAUUCUUUCCAAGGUUUUUGUCUUGAUGCAACAAAGAUCGCUCAGGAAUCCUUUUUGACACAAAGGAUCCACUCCACGUCCAACCACACCUAAAGAAAUGCUUUGAAGGAGUUGCCAAGCUCACUUUUAAUCAUGAGAAAGAAAUUACCCACAUGGAGUCAGCAGAAAAUGAAAAAGUAGAGCUCGUGCUGCGAAUAAUUCCAGCAAGUGCCAAGGGGCUAGUUGAGAAAUGGCUUCAUGAGUGUAUGAUCAUCCAGCAAGGAUGCAAACCUGGAACAGGCGGAAAUCUAUCAAUCAAUCAGCUUAGUCCUCUGCUAGAGAUUUUUGGUGCUAUCAUCAGCGGGGCUUGGCUCAGAAACCAGACCUGCAAAUGAAAUCAAGCUGAAGCUUUUUAGGAAAUCUGUCAGAGUGGAACCCAUACUUCAUUGAAAUCAAAACUACUAUCUACUUCACAAAGAUAAGUCUUCAUCUCAGAUGAUUAGGCUGAAUUUAUGACUCCUGCGGGUUGUGCAUGAUUUUUGAAUGCGCACAUGCACGUGUGAUUUUUGAACGCUCUGAGCUGAUGCUGUGUUCGUAGGUCCUUUAAAACAUUUCCUUCAGUUUUUCAGCUAGCCAGAAGAAAGAAUUUGCCCUUCAAAACAGAAUGCGAGGAAAUGUGCUACCCACAGAUCUUGACCCCAGCUUCAUAUCGCUCUCAUUUUAUAUAGCUAUGGGGCAACUGUUGCAAAUGGCAGUGGAGUUAUCUUCCCUUCCACAGGCUCGGAGGCUAGACACUCUUCUUUUAACUGGAAGAAGGUUUUAUGGCUCUGUAGUCCAGCAAGUCUGCUGAGCUCCUGUGCCUUUCCUCUUAAUUUCUUAGGACAGCUUUGCAAGUGGAAUUUGUAAUUGUAUCUGACUGUAUUUUGGUAUGUGAGACUCUGGUAAUUCCAUGGCUUUUGAACAGCUAGUGUCAAAACUGAUAUGCAGGAACAAUUAAUAUAGAUUUGAUACAUUGGCAUUAUGUAGCAUACCAAGCAUAACUGAUUUUUAGAGUUAUAGUGUAUUAUUCUUCUUAGCUGCUGCAUGUCUCUCCAUAAAUGAACAUGUAGGCACUAGACUCCAAAGGGAUCUAUAUUUUUUUAUAUACAUAUGUAUUUAUAUCAAGGUGCAUUUUUCUUCAUUCCUAUAUAUUUCCAUCAGUUCCAUCCACAUAUUUUCCAGGUAGCUUCAGAUUAUAAUGACUUCAAAAUUCUAUUUUAUUUUUAUUGAACUGAUUAGAGAAUGUGCAAAAUCUGGAAAAGGUACUACAUUGAGAUAUCGAUUGUUUCUUAUAUGUAACUAUAUAAAUGCAAGUAUCCAAGAAGUCACUACAGAUUGUAAUAACAUUAUAAUAGCUUUCAUUCCAGAAAGAAGUUUAGCAGCAAAGAUGAAAAAGUAUUUAAAACUUUGUUGAUAUGUAGCCCGGGAAGUCCUGCCCACUAAAGGGAGAUUUUGAUAUGUUGUAUAGAUACAAGUCUAAAAAUAUGAGGAUAUUUUGUUUCUCAGUUAUUCAAAAUAAGCAAUGUCUCCUUUCAGCCCAGCAGUGUCUUGGCUUGGACCCGUAUAGGAAGAUAACUGUGGUCAGUGCUCGGCUUGCUCCUUUAAGUGGGGAACAUGCUGUGAUUGCUUGCUUUGACUGGGCCAUAAAGAUGCUGCUAAAUUAUGUUGGCUUACAGCAGUUUGCCAUGUAAUGGUGAUACCCUUGAAAACAAACCAGCUCUACAAACAGUAUUUGUUCAUUCUUGCCAUUUUCUGUUUUUGUUGAUACCAUCCCAUACCGGCCAUCAUGCACAUGGGAUCAAAAAAGGAAAUGAGGAAGAAUAUAUUGCUUCCUACUGCUAUGGAUAUCAACUGUAAUUGAAGAUCCAGAGGCACCUGAGAGUUCUCUUUCUUCACUUUGUACUCCCUGAUCACUGAUUUAAAAGGAAGAGAGAUAUGAUUACACAUGAAGCAUGUAAGAAGCAUGCUUUUCUUUCCUGCAUGUGGAAGGCCAUUUAGGCACUCCUGGGGUUGUACUCCACAGCAAGCCGUUGACCUGCUGUACCGAGUCUGGCAUCAAGAGAUCCUUGUGACUGCGCUCCCACGUGACUGCAAUGAUCUGCAAGCUCGCUAGAUUUCUCUACAAACCUCUUCUCCUGCCCGGUUCUUCCACAAAGUGUGUGUGUAUGUAUAUGUGUGUGUAUGAACAGAUAGAAAUCAAGUUAACAGAUAUAAAGAUAAAAUAAUUAAACAUAUCAGUAGUGAAAACUAGUUGUGAGAACUACUUACCAGCCCUGAUUUAGUCUUUUGUCAAUGCUUAACUAUCCACAUUUUAUUAUCACUACUUUAUUCUCUGAAAAGGGACUUAAGGUGGGUUCUGGGUUUUUUUUUUUUGGUUCCACUAAUUUUUUAUCAGGUAUAUUCAGCAUGCUAAUAAUGAGAUAGGUUGUUCCUUUACUUUUCAGCUGUGAAAGCUGAGCCUAAACUCAGUUAGGCUCAGUUCCCACCUUUUAAUGAAUCCCUACUGGUAACAAUGGUUUGGCAGGAAAAAGGCCAGUGACACCAGGGCAACGUCAUUGACCGUAUGGGGUUAGCAUACGUGUGACAGAGGGGACCUUGGUAAGCAAUUCGGAUGGCAACAUGACGUAAGGUAGAAGAAAUCGAGUCUACCUAUCCCUUUGUCUGUGGCGCUCUCUCUUUCACUGUGUUGGCUCUUCCAGAAAAGUAACAUCUCUUUUUUUUUUAUAAGUGGAAAGUGCCUGUUUCACAUAGUCUUUUUCUGAAUGACAGCUGCAUUUUAGUUCCAUGUUCCUUGUUAGAGAAGCACUUUAAUAGGUCUAAUCAGUGUUAGAUUUGGGUUUUUUUGUUAUCUG